UACGGAGGGUGCGAGCGUUGUUCGGAAUUCCUGGGCGUAAAGCGCGUGUAGGUGGUCUGUCAUGUCAGGUGUGAAAGCCCUCGGCCUAACCGAGGAAGUGCGCCUGAAACUGCCAGACUUGAGUACGAGAGAGGAGGACGGAAUUCCCAGUGUAGAGGUGAAAUUCGUAGAUAUUGGGAGGAACACCGGUGGCGAAAGCGGUUCUCUGGAUCGAUACUGACACUAAGACGCGAAAGCGUGGGGAGCAAACAGG
rnacentral:rRNA from 1 species